rfam:Ovis aries breed Texel chromosome 18, whole genome shotgun sequence.
CCUGGUGGCUCAGAUGGUAAAGCGUCUGCCUGCAAUGCGGGAGACCCGGGUUCAAUUCCUGGGUCAGGA